rnacentral:rRNA from 1 species
UAGGGAAUCUUCCGCAAUGGACGCAAGUCUGACGGAGCAACGCCGCGUGAGUGAAGAAGGAUUCCGGUUCGUAAAACUCUGUUGUUAGAGAAGAACAGCGCAUAGAGUAACUGUUAUGCGUGUGACGGUAUCUAACCAGAAAGCCACGGCUAACUACGUGCCAGCAGCCGCGGUAAUACGUAGGUGGCAAGCGUUGUCCGGAUUUAUUGGGCGUAAAGCGAGCGCAGGCGGUCAAUUAAGUCUGAUGUGAAAGCCCCCGGCUCAACCGGGGAGGGUCAUUGGAAACUGGUUGACUUGAGUGCAGAAGAGGAGAGUGGAAUUCCAUGUGUAGCGGUGAAAUGCGUGGAUAUAUGGAGGAACACCAGUGGCGAAGGCGACUCUCUGGUCUGUAACUGACGCGGAGGCUCGAAAGCGUGGGUAGCAAACAGG